rnacentral:lncRNA from 1 species
AAAAGAGAAAAGUGGGAGAGAGCGCUGCUGAGGAUCUGUCUCAUACCAGGUGGAAAGAGAAUAGCUUGUGAGAGUGUAUGAGUGGAAUGAAGUGGUCAGAUGAGAGAGCGCGGCGGAGAUGGAGAGAAGCGGAGAACUUGAUGCAUAUUUUGGAGGCAAAAUCAACAAGAUUGGCUGAUGGAUUAAAAGCAGAAGAUUUUGCCAUAGAGAAAUCUCUUGCUUUUCAAUCUCUCCAAUUUGGGAACCAACCAACCAACCAGUCUACCAACCAGCCAACGAACCAACUACUCAACCGGUCAACUGACUCCUCCCGGAGACAAAGAUUGGAGAAUUGCUUGAAUCUGGUACAAAGACUAAAGCAAAGUAAUACUGUAUCAUGCACAGACCUCAACUCUGUGAAGACAGUCCCUCAUGCUGUAGGAAGUCAGCCUUGAAUAUCUAGGCUUAGGGGAGGCUGAGAAAGGUCACCACUGGAGAAGUAAGCGGUUGGGGCAGGUCAGGAUCCAGGGCUCUCAAUUCUUAUGGAGAGAUUUUGCUUUUUUAAAACAUCAGACCUGCUGGUGUUUGCACUCAGUUUUCUUUCUUAUAAAAAUCAACUCUAUUGAGAUGUACUGCCCAAUCAAGAUAUAGAACAUUUGCAUCACCCUAGAAAACUUCCUUGUGCCCCAAAUCACAUCACUGAUGUGAUUUCUAUCACUAUAGCUGAGUUUUGUCUAUCCUAGAACUUUGUGUAAAUUGUCCUUUUCUUUUGACUUUAUGUAGUUUUUUUCUCAUGUGGAAGAAAAAGAAUUAUUGUAGGUUUAUGGUUUUUAAAAAAUAUUCAAAUCGGAUUCAUCUGACAUUUAUUUUGGUGUAGUGUGUGAAAGGCACAGAUCUAAUCUCAUUUAUUUUCUCCCAGAGAGCUACCUGGUUGUUUCAACAUCAUUUAUUGACAAAUGUAUCUUUUUUCUCACUGGUUUAAAUGCCACCUUUAUCAUACAUUAAAUUCCCAAGUGUGCUCAGGUAUAUUUCUGGACCGUCCGUUCUUUUCCUUUGAUGUGUUUAUUCAUGUCUCAAUACAAUACUCUUUUAAUUAUGGUUGGUUUAUUUUUAAAAUGUCUCAUAUUUUAGAAUUUUCUGCUCUAUCUCUUCAAUGGGUUACUUCUCACCAAGGUUCCCAUAUUAGUUAUCUAUUGCUGCAUAACAAAUUAUCCUAAAACUCAGCAGCUUGAAAAUGUGUUAUCUCACACUUUCUGAGAGUCAGGAACCUGAGAGCACUGUAGCUGGGUAGUUCUGGCUUAGGAUCUCUCAAGAGGUUGUGGCUAUGCUGUCAGCAGGGCUGCAGUUGUCUCAAGACUUGACUGGGGCUAAGAGAUUCGCUUCCAGGCUCACUCACAUGAUUGAGCAAAUAGGCCUUAGUUCCUCACUGGUCUCAGUUCCUCGCUGGCUGUUGGCUGGAGGACUCAGGUCUUUACCACAUGGGUUUGCAAUAGGGAUGCUCCCAAUAUGGCAGCCAGAGUGCUGAGAGAGAGAGAGAGGAGAGAGAGAGCAAGCCCAAGACAGAACACUCUGUUUUUUACAGCCUAACCUUGGAAGUGAUGGACCAUUACCUCUGGCAACUCUGGUGUGGUGUGAGAAACUUAUGUGGGUGCGAGUACCAGUGGGCAGGGAUCAUAGUGGCCAUCUAGAGGCUGGCUCCCACAGUUCCAAUCCUGGCUCUCUUCUCUUUUCACUUUCUUCACGCUCCUGGGAGCUCUAUUCCAUUUGAUGAGGCUGCUUCUACCUAUGACCAAUAAUCCCCAAAUAAUUAUCCUUAUCGCUAACUCAGUCUUGAACUCUGGAACUAUUUCCAAUUGCAGGGAUACCUCCUCUGAAAUAUCCCAUAGUGAUCUCCAUGCCUUUAAUGAUGCUUUCCUGGGGAACCGUCUGAACCUUAGACCUACUUCUAUUUUGACAUGUAUCCCUGCGUUGCAUUUAUCUGAUUCCUCCAUUAGACUAUAAGCUGAUUUUUAUUUAUUUAUUUCUGUAAGCUUAUUGAGGGUAGGGACUAUGUUUUCAUUAUUUUUUUGUGUUUGCAGUACUUGGUGCCUAGCAUGAAGUGGGGUCUGGAGCCUGCUUGAGUUUGGGGCUGUGGACUCAUGGGUCCAUCUGUUUCCAUUGUGUGACAGCAUCUCUGGAGACAGCCAGACUGGCAAGAAUGGGUCCUCAAACUGUGCUUUGUACUUUUUUUUCUUCUUUUCCUUUCCCUCUUCCUCCUCCCAGUCUCAAGAGGUAACUUUGAGACAAACUGCAUAUAUGUUACCUUUCAUCUCGAAAUAACAAUCUCAGAAUGUGCUGUGAACCUCCACUCCCUUUCUUUCCCAUGCUAUGCUCCCAUGCCUUAUGUAUAGUUAUUUACCUAAAGGCUUGUUAAGCACAAACCAUGUUCUCUUAUCUGCAAUAUAUUUCCUUAGAAGCUUUGUUGCAGUAGGUAGUCAGGCAGACAUGAGCAGGGCAGGAGAGAGCUCCCCACCACACACCAGGAAUACCAGUUGUUAUGCUGUUUCUCUAAAAUAAUAAUUGGCCACAGCUGGUGCCAGGGAACGGCCAUCUCCCAAUACAUAGAAACACCUGAAGCUGGUGAUCAGCAGCUUCCAGAUAAGAUCUCAGGAGUUGGGUGAGUGGGCUCAAGCAUGCACAUCAAGAGGUAAAAUGGCUGAGUUUAACUGGUAUAUGACCACCUUCUAGGAAUACUCGACUGGUAAGGGAAGAAUGCUUAAAGUGAGCAUGCGUACAACUCCAGUAAACACACUGCACAUGAAGUCCCUGUCAGGUGCUGGCAGGCCAUUGCACAUGCAGAAUGCCAAUAUGUAAGAACUCAAGUCCAAGGUCAGACCUGGCACUCGAUCUCUCAAGUUGCUUGCUUGGCCCUCUUUCUAGCAUACUUUACUUCCUUUCGUUCCUGCUCUAAAGCUUUUUAAUAACUUUUCACACCUGCUUCAACACUUGCCUGGGUCUCUCACUCUGCCUUAUGUCCUUCAGUUGAAUUUUUUCUCCUGAGGAAGCAAGAAUUGAGGUUGCUGCAGACCUGUACGGACUCACUGCUGCUAACAUACUUUAGUGCCAUGUGGCUCGGAUACAUUCCCUAGUGGUAAGAGAUCUCUACCUCUCACCUUCUUCAGCUGGAGGUGUUCAACCCCUGUACACAGUUUCCUUCUGUCUUUUCACUCUCCUGCCUACUAACCAACCCUCAGAAUGAUUCCUGUCAGCCACAGAGGCUCUGCUACCCCAGGCUGACCUCUCAGUUCACCCUGACCGAUGGGUUGAGGGGGUAGGAAGGACCUUGGAGUCUGCAUUGAGUAGCUCUGAGGCAGUAAUGGCUCUCCUAGAGAAGGAGCUUACAAGAGUAGCAGGGCUAAAGCCUAAAACCAUGCAAUACCUGGGGUUUCCUCUGCUUUUUCAACUAAAAUCCACUCUUUUCCAAAAUCUUCACUGUCUAUUCUCCUGUUUUCCCUGUGUGUAUUCUGAAAUGGCCUUGCACACCCACUGACUGUCUGCCUCAGGGGCAAGUCUGCCUCUUCUCUGGUUUCACUUCACAUGCUGUGUGACUGUCUUCUCUGCCUUAAAACUCACACUCCCUGUUAUUUGUGUGCCCACAGCUCUUGAUGCAUCUGCUCAGCAGCAAAGACAUGGGCUCCAUUUGUGAUUACCCCAAGAUUUAUACUUGUAUACUUGUUUUUACUCUACCAGCGCAGAUGACCUCCAACCUUUCCCCUGUCUACUGGCUCACUGCUGGGACAGACAUUAAUUGGAACUCUGGCUCUGCCAGCUUCUUAUGACUUACAAUAUGCUCUUCACUCCUUUUACACCCCAGGGCCAAGUUUUCUGGUGGCAUUUGAAGCAGUUUGUCUGCCUGCAUAGGACCUCGCUCUGCUUUUUUUUUUUUUGAGUUAGGACUCCUUUGGGAAGAGGGAAAUUCUUCCUUUGUCAUUUGCAAGUUCUUACCCCAAGCUCCAAGUCCUGUGGAGGUUACUCGUUUAUGUCAAGAGGGCAAAUAAAUGUUGCUGUCUCAAAUCCAAGGGCUAUUUUUUGUGAGCAUAAGAAGGCUUUCCUUGAGUAUUCCUCUUGCUUCCUUCCACAUUCUCCAGUAGCCUCCAUUUCUCUAAUCACUUCCACACCCUUGUCAAUGUGCAUCAAGACCUUCAAGGUCAUAUUCGAAGGGAGGGAAGUCCACCCCCUUGCGGCAGGACAAGACAGGCUUCUCAUCCACUUAAAGAACAUGGGAAAUGGGAAUCUGAGAAAAGAGACAAUCAUUUUGUUGCUCUGAGCGAGCAUCACUAUAAGGUCAUGGAGACAAGGAUACAGGCCAGCCCAAGGCUGCAGGAUCAAGAGACCCAUAGGACAGAGCUGAAGGCUGGUCCCAAGCUAACAGAUAACCAUUAGAACAGAGACCAAGGCAAGGUUAGAGGUACACAGUAAUAUCAGUUCAUUCUGGAACCCCAAGGAUGAACAGGGGGCCCCCUGUUCACUCCAGCAUUUCCUUUGUUCUCAAGUGGGUAAUUGUGACGAGAUGGGACCAACGUUAAAGGUACACAGUAAGACCAAUUCAUUCCAGAACCCUAAGGACAAAUGGGGGACACCCUAUUCAGGAUAAUAGGAAAGUAAGAAGGGGCAGCAUCUUUUUCCUUUUUCCUCCUCUGUCCUGUCUUCACAGAUGGGUAAUUGUGUCUCCAGACCACAGGACAUGCCCCUCGGAUUCAUCCUCCAAAACUAGAAAAAGUUUGAUUCCCCUAAACCUUAAAACAAACAAACAAAAAAAACCCUAGUUUUUCUUUAUAUUAUUGUUUGGCCUAAAAAUAAACUGGGAGAAAAUACGAAAGUCAGCCUUAGAACUUAGUGCCUUUAUGCAGGAAAUCCUCAAAUUAGCCUCCCUGGUCUUUUAUAACUGAAAGCAGAAUAAGGAGGGCAGGGCUAGGGAGAAAGAGAAAUGCAGGUACUAGAGGCAGGCUGAACUAUUAGCUGCUUUGCAAGCCCACCAGUCCCCUCCAGGUUGCCCUAAGGACACUCCUCCAGAUAAGUGCCAUUGGUGCUGAAAGACAGGUCACUGGAAGGCAAACUUCCCCAAUGAGAAAAUUGGGAAAAAGGCCCACAUGGCUUGCCCUGUCUGCCACAAGCUUGGCCACUGGAGAUGGGACUGUCCUGAAGGCUGAAGGGCCCCUGGGACAGAAUCCCAACCACUUAUGGCCCUGAGCUGAAGGGGCUCUCCACUCCAGCUGGCUUCCAAAUCAGACAUUGUCACCAACAGGACAAAGCCAAGGGCAACUCUGGAGGUGGCAAGUAAAAUUUAAAGUUUCCCUUUUGGGUUUAAGAGCUGCCUACUCUGUGCUAAUCUCCUUCUCUAAGCAACUCUCCUCCAAAUCCUGUUGGGAUCCACACCCCUUUAUAUUACUUAAGGGACUAAUUACCAUUCUCUCACCAGUCCCUGGUAAUGUCUAGAUACCCCACACCUCCUUGGGGCAAAAAUAUGCUUUCCAAGAUGGAUGCCUACUUAAUAUUUAGCCUAUCUUUGAAUUCAUCUUUCCCUCUGAUAGCCCUAUUUCUCCCAAAAAGCUACCUAAAUCUUUAACCUAAACAUUUCUACCUCAGGGGUUUAGAAAUAGCCCACUCUUACUCGAACCAGCCCUAGCAAAAAAAUCUAACUGAGCAAUCUCUUGAGAGGGAUAACUUCUAUAGUA